rnacentral:rRNA from 1 species
AUUGAACGCUGGCGGCAUGCCUUACACAUGCAAGUCGAACGGUAACAGGUUAAGCUGACGAGUGGCGAACGGGUGAGUAAUACAUCGGAACGUGCCCAGUAGUGGGGGAUAGCCCGGCGAAAGCCGGAUUAAUACCGCAUACGACCUAAGGGUGAAAGGGGGGGAUCGCAAGACCUCUCGCUAUUGGAGCGGCCGAUGUCAGAUUAGCUAGUUGGUGGGGUAAAAGCUCACCAAGGCGACGAUCUGUAGCUGGUCUGAGAGGACGACCAGCCACACUGGGACUGAGACACGGCCCAGACUCCCACGGGAGGCAGCAGUGGGGAAUUUUGGACCAUGGGCGCAAGCCUGAUCCAGCCAUGCCGCGUGCGGGAAGAAGGCCUUCGGGUUGUAAACCGCUUUUGUCAGGGAAGAAAUCAUUUGGGUUAAUACCUCGGGGGGAUGACGGUACCUGAAGAAUAAGCACCGGCUAACUACGUGC